rnacentral:rRNA from 1 species
UUGACCUCGGAUCAGGUAGGGUUACCCGCUGAACUUAAGCAUAUCAAUAA